GACGAACGCUGGCGGCGUGCUUAACACAUGCAAGUCGAACGGAAAGGCCCUGCUUUUGUGGGGUGCUCGAGUUGCGAACGGGUGAGUAACACGUUAGUAACCUGCCCUUGACUUUGGGAUAACUUCAGGAAACUGGGUCUAAUACCGGAUAGGAGCUCCUGCUGCAUUGUGUGGGUUGGAAAGUUUCGGCGGUUGGGGAUGGACUCGCGGCUUAUCAGCUUGUUGGUGGGGUAGUGGCUUACCAAGGCUUUGACGGGUAGCCGGCCUGAGAGGGUGACCGGCCACAUUGGGACUGAGAGACGGCCCAGACUACAACGGGAGGCAGCAGUGGGGAAUAUUGCACAAUGGGCGGAAGCCUGAUGCAGAAACGCCGCGUGCGGGAUGACGGCCUUCGGGUUGUAAACCGAUUUCGCCUGUGACGAAGCGUGAGUGACGGUAAUGGGUAAAGAAGCACCGGCUAACUACGUG
rnacentral:rRNA from 1 species